CAGCAGCCGCGGGAAUACGUAGGGUGCAAGCGUUAAUCGGAAUUACUGGGCGUAAAGCGUGCGCAGGCGGUUUGUUAAGACAGAUGUGAAAUCCCCGGGCUCAACCUGGGAACUGCAUUUGUGACUGGCAAGCUAGAGUCUGGCAGAGGGGGGUGGAAUUCCGCGUGUAGCAGUGAAAUGCGUAGAUAUGCGGAGGAACACCGAUGGCGAAGGCAGCCCCCUGGGCCAACACUGACGCUCAUGCACGAAAGCGUGGGGAGCAAACAGGAUUAGAUACCCCGGUAGUCCCUGUCUCUUAUAA
rnacentral:rRNA from 1 species